UAAACAAAAUAAACACGUAACAAUUCAUUCUGUGCUAUUUUUCAGUGUGAGUCAGUGAGUGACCGGUGACUGGCUGCUGCAGCCAAUGAUGCGAUUCACAUACGUAUUUACCAUAGACUGUAUAUAAUGGUAUUUACGCAGCUAAUCAACGUCAUUGACAGGCGUCCUUAUGUGCAGCCAUCGUUGUUGUCAUAGAUAUGAAUGAGUAGAUAGGACACACCCCUUUGAGCUACGUGCUACUGCGAGGCUAAGCUAGUGGGGGCAAAGUUUCAGUGCAUUCCGUUGAUGUAGACGGCGUGAAAACGGAAACAACAAGUAUGCCUGCUCACUGUGCUGCAUACAAUUACACACUACGUCGUACGAUUGAGACAAGGAAACUUGGAAUGACUUUUCAUAGGUUUCCCAGAGACUAUGGGUUGAGGAGGAAUUGGAAGUUUGUCGGCUUAGACCUGGUGUCAUUCCAUCAGUGUUAAACUUCCCGGCUCAUCUUGGAAGAGUACGUGCCAGAAAGACCACGACCAAGCAGCCUUGAGAUCUUAGACAGCGUCUCCCUGAGACCAAAGAACUACAGACUCUUCACAACCUGCUCAAACUCUUGGUACAGGACCUCACCACACGGGUCAAGAAGGUUUCCAUCUCCUCAUUUCUACUCUGAAGCUCACUUUCUCCUAAACGCUAAAGUCUCCUGCAGCCUACCAGAGAACCUCUGAGAACAGAAAAUCAGGACAGGAACUCUUACCUUCUGGACAACCAAGAAUACAGAAUGUGUCUGACCAAAAACCUCUGAAGACUCACUACAGCCAAGAUAAAGACACAACUCAGCUGCACCAAAUCCACUAAUCACUGCACACAUUAGUACCAUGUGCUGACUGUGGCUAAAGAACCACAUUUACCAAGACAACUAUCCAGUACAAAGCCCUAAAACACACCAAGAAACACAUUAAAGACGAUUUUACUGCUGGAAGCUGCAAGCAAACACCUAAAGCACAAACUAAAGCAAUGGAGCCAAACCCGGUUCACUGGUGAAGAGAAACAGAGGAAAUGUUUGUCUGCUGCUAAAUAAAGCAGGAAGACAGUGAGCUGCUCAGGUGUUCCUGAUAACACCAAGCAGCCACCUGGACAGCCAAUAGGAACACAGCUUACUGGAAGUCCAGAGGGCGGGGUUAGUGAAGGAAAUUUAGUUUAAAGUUGAAGCAGAAAGUUAAUAAAGAAAGUUGAAAACCA